GACGGAGGUCAUGGACAACUCGUCAAACCCCAUCGUCUGUCAUAUGUCAAAAUUUAUUCGACUCGAGUUCGAUAGUGGAAAACUCUUUCUCCACUUUAUAUUACUGCCCUGGCCAAGCUCUUAGAACUCAGUCUAACAAAUCACAUAGGAUCACUCCUCUUCUAUCAAGGUCGAUAGAUUCCUUGUAGGUGCAUACCCUACUCCUACAGUGAACCUACUGCAGCCAAUCUACACUGCAUGGACCCCUAUGGCUAGAGACCAUGUAUGUGUGCAGUCAAACUACAAUAACCUCA
rnacentral:lncRNA from 1 species